rnacentral:tRNA from 1 species
GCCAGCGUAGCUCAGUUCGGUAGAGCGACUGAUUUGUAAUCAGUUGGUCGGGGGUUCGAAUCCCUUCGCUGGCUCCA